rnacentral:rRNA from 1 species
UGCCAGAGCCGCGGUAAGACGUAGGGACCGAGCGUUGUCCGGAAUUAUUGGGCGUAAAGAGCUCGUAGGCGGUUGCGUAAGUCGGAUGUGAAAGCUCAGGGCUCAACCCUGAGACGCCAUCCGAUACUGCGCUGACUUGAAUCCAGUAGGGGAGUGUGGAAUUCCUGGUGUAGCGGUGAAAUGCGCAGAUAUCAGGAGGAACACCUAUGGCGAAGGCAGCACUCUGGGCUGGUAUUGACGCUGAGGAGCGAAAGCAUGGGGAGCGAACAGGAUUAGAUA